rnacentral:rRNA from 1 species
CGGUGAAUACGUUCCCGGGCCUUGUACACACCGCCCGUCAAGCCAUGGAAGCCGGGAGUACCCGAAGUCACUUUGUUAACCCGCAAGGGGGACGGGUGCCUAAGGUAAAACCGGUGACUGGGGCU